rnacentral:rRNA from 1 species
AGAGUUUGAUCCUGGCUCAGGAUGAACGCUGGCGGCGCGCCUAAUACAUGCAAGUCGAACGGAGUGUGUUCUCGUAACGCACUCAGUGGCGAACGGGUGAGUAACGCGUAGGUGACCUACCCCGAAGAGGGGGAUAACAGCCCGAAAGGGCUGCUAAUACCCCAUGUGGUUCUGUGGGUUAGAGGCCGCAGAACUAAAGGCGUAAGCCGCUUCGGGAUGGGCCUGCGUCCCAUCAGCUAGUUGGUAGGGUAACGGCCUACCAAGGCGAUGACGGGUAGGGGGCCUGAGAGGGUGGCCCCCCACACUGGCACUGAAACACGGGCCAGACACCUACGGGUGGCAGCAGUAGGGAAUAUUGGGCAAUGGGCGAAAGCCUGACCCAGCGACGCCGCGUGCGCGAUGAAGGCCUUCGGGUUGUAAAGCGCUUUUGGAGGGGAUGAGGAAGGACAGUACCCUCCGAAUAAGCCUCGGCUAACUACGUGCCAGCAGCCGCGGUAAAACGUAGGAGGCGAGCGUUAUCCGGAUUUACUGGGCGUAAAGCGCGUGUAGGCGGUCCGGCAAGUUGGAUGUGAAAUCUCUCGGCUCAACCGGGAGAGGUCGUUCAAUACUGCUGGGCUAGAGAGCGGUAGAGGGGGGUGGAAUUCCGGGUGUAGCGGUGAAAUGCGUAGAUAUCCGGAGGAACACCAGUGGCGAAGGCGGCCCCCUGGACCGUCUCUGACGCUCAGACGCGAAAGCUAGGGGAGCAAACGGGAUUAGAGACCCCGGUAGUCCUAGCCGUAAACGAUGUGGACUUGGCGUUGGUGGGUUAAAAUCCAUCAGUGCCGAAGCUAACGCGAUAAGUCCACCGCCUGAGGACUACGGCCGCAAGGCUAAAACUCAAGGAAUUGACGG